rnacentral:rRNA from 1 species
ACGGAAGGCAGCAGUGGGGAAUAUUGCACAAUGGGCGAAAGCCUGAUGCAGCGACGCCGCGUGAGUGAAGAAGUAUCUCGGUAUGUAAAGCUCUAUCAGCAGGGAAGAAAAUGACGGUACCUGACUAAGAAGCCCCGGCUAACUACGUGCCAGCAGCCGCGGUAAUACGUAGGGGGCAAGCGUUAUCCGGAUUUACUGGGUGUAAAGGGAGCGUAGACGGUUUGGCAAGUCUGAAGUGAAAUGCGGGGGCUCAACUCCUGAACUGCUUUGGAAACUGUCGAACUAGAGUGCAGGAGAGGUAAGUGGAAUUCCUAGUGUAGCGGCGAAAUGCGUAGAUAUUAGGAGGAACACCAGUGGCGAAGGCGGCUUACUGGACUGUAACUGACGUUGAGGCUCGAAAGCGUGGGGAGCAAACAGGAUUAGAUACCCUGGUA